UACGGAGGGGGCUAGCGUUGUUCGGAAUUACUGGGCGUAAAGCGCACGUAGGCGGCUUUGUAAGUUAGAGGUGAAAGCCCGGGGCUCAACUCCGGAAUUGCCUUUAAGACUGCAUCGCUAGAAUCCAGGAGAGGUGAGUGGAAUUCCGAGUGUAGAGGUGAAAUUCGUAGAUAUUCGGAAGAACACCAGUGGCGAAGGCGGCUCACUGGACUGGUAUUGACGCUGAGGUGCGAAAGCGUGGGGAGCAAACAGGG
rnacentral:rRNA from 1 species